AGGGCGGGACACGUGGUAUCCUGUCUGAAUAUGGGGGGACCAUCCUCCAAGGCUAAAUACUCCUGACUGACCGAUAGUGAACCAGUACCGUGAGGGAAAGGCGAAAAGAACCCCGGCGAGGGGAGUGAAAAAGAACCUGAAACCGUGUACGUACAAGCAGUGGGAGCACGCUUAGGCGUGUGACUGCGUACCUUUUGUAUAAUGGGUCAGCGACUUAUAUUCUGUAGCAAGGUUAACCGAAUAGGGGAGCCGAAGGGAAACCGAGUCUUAACUGGGCGUUAAGUUGCAGGGUAUAGACCCGAAACCCGGUGAUCUAGCCAUGGGCAGGUUGAAGGUUGGGUAACACUAACUGGAGGACCGAACCGACUAAUGUUGAAAAAUUAGCGGAUGACUUGUGGCUGGGGGUGAAAGGCCAAUCAAACCGGGAGAUAGCUGGUUCUCCCCGAAAGCUAUUUAGGUAGCGCCUCGUGAAUUCAUCUCCGGGGGUAGAGCACUGUUUCGGCAAGGGGGUCAUCCCGACUUACCAACCCGAUGCAAACUGCGAAUACCGGAGAAUGUUAUCACGGGAGACACACGGCGGGUGCUAACGUCCGUCGUGAAGAGGGAAACAACCCAGACCGCCAGCUAAGGUCCCAAAGUCAUGGUUAAGUGGGAAACGAUGUGGGAAGGCCCAGACAGCCAGGAUGUUGGCUUAGAAGCAGCCAUCAUUUAAAGAAAGCGUAAUAGCUCACUGGUCGAGUCGGCCUGCGCGGAAGAUGUAACGGGGCUAAACCAUGCACCGAAGCUGCGGCAGCGACGCUUAUGCGUUGUUGGGUAGGGGAGCGUUCUGUAAGCCUGUGAAGGUGUACUGUGAGGUAUGCUGGAGGUAUCAGAAGUGCGAAUGCUGACAUAAGUAACGAUAAAGCGGGUGAAAAGCCCGCUCGCCGGAAGACCAAGGGUUCCUGUCCAACGUUAAUCGGGGCAGGGUGAGUCGACCCCUAAGGCGAGGCCGAAAGGCGUAGUCGAUGGGAAACAGGUUAAUAUUCCUGUACUUGGUGUUACUGCGAAGGGGGGACGGAGAAGGCUAUGUUGGCCGGGCGACGGUUGUCCCGGUUUAAGCGUGUAGGCUGGUUUUCCAGGCAAAUCCGGAAAAUCAAGGCUGAGGCGUGAUGACGAGGCACUACGGUGCUGAAGCAACAAAUGCCCUGCUUCCAGGAAAAGCCUCUAAGCAUCAGGUAACAUCAAAUCGUACCCCAAACCGACACAGGUGGUCAGGUAGAGAAUACCAAGGCGCUUGAGAGAACUCGGGUGAAGGAACUAGGCAAAAUGGUGCCGUAACUUCGGGAGAAGGCACGCUGAUAUGUAGGUGAAGUCCCUCGCGGAUGGAGCUGAAAUCAGUCGAAGAUACCAGCUGGCUGCAACUGUUUAUUAAAAACACAGCACUGUGCAAACACGAAAGUGGACGUAUACGGUGUGACGCCUGCCCGGUGC
rnacentral:rRNA from 1 species